rnacentral:rRNA from 1 species
GUUGCAAAAGAAGUAGGUAGCUUAACCUUCGGGAGGGCGCUUACCACUUUGUGAUUCAUGACUGGGGUGAAGUCGUAACAAGGUAACCGUAGGGGAACCUGCGGUUGGAUCACCUCCUUACCUGAAA